AUGGGUGUAUGUCAAUGGGGGGAAAAGGCACAGUUGAUCCAACCACAAGAGAAAACAAGGCGACAGCGAAAAACCACUUUCAGAAUCAUAUCGCUGAAACUAGGGUCUCACAUUAUGUGUCUGAAUUAUAUUAGACAGAUCUAUCAUACUCAUUGGAAAGUAAUGAAGUACUGGCAUAUUUUGAAACCUAGAAUAUCUUUGGUCCUGUUUUUACCAAUAAUCAUAUCCUAUCAACUGUACAUCUGUUGCAAGUCAUUGACAUUCUCUCUGUUUUUCUUCUUCAUAUAUUCGAUGAAUUGGAUAUCCUUGGAAAUCUACAACAACAAAAAAGAUCCAUGUGGACCAAUGUACUACAAUGGCAUCUACCAUGAAUUCUACCAAUAUAACCCCGAUGGCUCCUUCAAUCCCAAUACCUCCUACAACAUAGUUUGGGGCCAUUCGGUUUCAACGGACCUCGUCAACUGGAUUACUCUUGAACCCGCAAUAGAACCGGAUACCCCAAAUGACAUAAAAGGUUGCUGGUCCGGCUCAGCCACAAUUGUAUCUGGUGAUCAACCGGUCAUCAUAUACACCGGUGUCAUCGACAUUGAGAAGCAUCAGGUCCAAAACAUUGCGCUUCCCAAAAACCGGUCUGAUCCCUACCUCAGGGAAUGGACCAAAGCAGGCAAUAACCCAGUGAUCCAAUCGGGUGUACCGGGCUUGAACUCGGGGCAGUUCAGGGAUCCGACAACCGGUUGGAUCGGACCGGACGGACUAUGGAGAAUAGCAGUCGGUGCUCAGCUGAACGGCUACGGUGCUGCACUUUUGUACAAGAGCGAAGACUUCUUGAACUGGACUAGAGUUGACCAUCCGCUGUAUUCAUCCAAUGCCUCCAUUAUGUUAGAGUGCCUGGAUUUCUUCGCAGUAUUGCCGGGAAGUAACAAUGGACUGGACAUGUCUUCAGCAAUCCCAAAUGGCGCCAAGCAUGUCCUCAAAAUGGGCCUGAAUUUCGGUGAAGACGUGUACGUGAUAGGGGUUUAUGAUCUCAAACGUGAUGUCUUUGUGCCAGAUACUGAUGACAGUCGGCUAUGGCCGAGGAUCGAUUAUGGCAAUUUCUAUGCUUCAAAAACGUUCUUUGACUCUAAACAUGGAAGGAGGAUCAUAUGGGCUUGGACUACUGAGACUGACAGUUCUUCAGAUGAUGUUGCAAAAGGCUGGGCAGGAAUCCAUUCAUUCCCCAGGACAAUUUGGUUAGACAGCGAUAGCAAACGGCUGCUGCAAUGGCCAGUUGAAGAGAUUGAGUCCCUUCGAGGAAAUGAAAUCAACCAUCAAGGACUAGACUUGAAGAUGGGAGAUCUAUUUGAGAUUGAGGGAGCUGACACUUUGCAGGCUGACAUCGAGAUAGAUUUUGAGCUGACGUCAAUCGAUGAUGCUGAUCCUUUCGAUCCUUCCUGGCUUUUUGAUGCCGAGAAGCAUUGCCGGGAAGCGGAUGCAUCGGUUCAUGGUAGCAUAGGGCCAUUUGGACUUGUUAUUCUGGCCUCCGACGACACGGAGGAGCACACUGUUGUGCACUUCAGAGUUUACAAAUCACAGAAAAAUUACAUGAUCCUCAUGUGCUCUGAUCUAAGAAGGUCUUCCCUGACACCAGGACUGGACACACCAACCUAUGGAGGCUUCUUUGAAUUUGACCUUGAAAAGGAAAGGAAGAUCUCCCUCAGAACUCUGGUGAGUUGGGUGGCUUUCGUGUCAUUUCUCCAGUUACAUGUUCACUCCCUAACAGAACUGAAAAUGUACACCACCAUUCAGAUUGAUCGGUCUGCGGUGGAGAGCUUCGGUGGUGGUGGCAGGGUCUGCAUCAUGGCUAGAGUUUACCCAGUGUCGCUUGUCGACGACAACCGCCAACCCCACAUGUAUGCCUUUAACAAUGGCAGUGCCACAGUCAGAGUGCCUCAGCUCAGGGCUUGGAGCAUGAGGAGAGCACAAGUGAGCGUUUAA
rnacentral:rRNA from 1 species